UCCAGACUCCUACGGGAGGCAGCAGUGGGGAAUAUUGCACAAUGGGGGAAACCCUGAUGCAGCGACGCCGCGUGAGUGAAGAAGUAUUUCGGUAUGUAAAGCUCUCUCAGCAGGGAAGAAAUACUGACCUUACGGUCAGCAGACGGUACCUGACUAAGAAGCCCCGGCUAACUACGUGCCAGCAGCCGCGGUAAUACGUAGGGGGCAAGCGUUAUCCGGAUUUACUGGGUGUAAAGGGAGCGUAGACGGCAGCGCAAGUCUGAAGUGAAAUCCCAUGGCUUAACCAUGGAACUGCUUUGGAAACUGUGCAGCUGGAGUGCAGGAGAGGUAAGCGGAAUUCCUAGUGUAGCGGUGAAAUGCGUAGAUAUUAGGAGGAACACCAGUGGCGAAGGCGACUUUCUGGACGAUAACUGACGUUGAGGCACGAAAGUGUGGGGAGCAAACAGGAUUAGAUACCCGAGUA
rnacentral:rRNA from 1 species